rnacentral:rRNA from 1 species
UAGGGAAUCUUCGGCAAUGGGGGCAACCCUGACCGAGCAACGCCGCGUGAGUGAAGAAGGUUUUCGGAUCGUAAAGCUCUGUUGUAAGAGAAGAACGUGUGUGAGAGUGGAAAGUUCACACAGUGACGGUAACUUACCAGAAAGGGACGGCCAACUACGUACCAG